UGGGGGGCGCGUGAUGAUGCUGCAGAAUCUGAGUGUACCUUUCUUGAGCGUGCGCUGGCGCGCACGUGGUGAGGUGACGUAUUCUCGCUGUGGCUUGCGCCGCGCGCGCUGGCCGAGUCUGAUGUCCCCACACGCGCAUGCGUGUGCUGUGGGCGUGGAUGCCGGACUGCGCGCAGUCUAGGAAACCAGUGCAUGCGUGAGACUUGUGCUGCGCUGGUGCCGAAGCUGCGCAAGAGCUGUGCCGCUGCUGCUGUUGGUGGCGGCGGUGCUGUGUGCUGCUGUGUGUGCGUGCAUAUGUGCUGUGUCAGCGCACGCACCAGCCGGGCGCAGUUGAUGUUGGUUGCGCAUUCGGCCUUGUCGUGCCGCGAGAGGCGCUGGCGCUGCGGUGGCGGCGCGUGGCGUGCGCGUGUGUGUUGUGAU